rfam:Flavisolibacter tropicus strain LCS9, complete genome.
GGUAGUAGGUCUACCGCAUACGCCGGGCAGACGGAGUAUGCAAACCACUGCAUGCUGCUACAAUCAAAAGUUGUGGUGGUGAGCGAUGCAGCAAAAGGCUGUGUUUAGCAUUGACGCUUUGG